CAGAAAGUAGUUUAGUAAAAAAUUUUGGCCUUGGGUGCCAAUGACGAGGAUAAAAAUUUCCUUUUUUCUGA
rnacentral:tRNA from 1 species